GCUGCAGCGAGGGCUCGCUUGGCGGGCACGUGGGUGGGGAAGCACACAGGGGAGGCCGUGGAGCAAUUGCUGAGCGCUGCUGGGGAGGCGGGAAGGAGGACAGUGAUCUGCGCUGGAGGCGGAUGGGGUCUGCUGGGCACCGGCGUCUGCGGCUGCACAGUCUGACACGCCAUCCUGCGGCGGCUGCAGCAGCACAGCUGUGCUUCCUGGGGGGGUCACAACAGGUGCCUCUGGCUGGGUUUCUUGUGUGAAUCAGUAGGCACACGGUGGUGCCCGUGGACAGAAGGAGUGCCAUGUGAUCCCUCACCUGCGACCAGGAGGUGCCCUUGACAAGCCAAUCGUCCAGAUAGGGAAAUACCUGUACCUCCCGUCAUGUGAGCUUUCCCAUCAAACGGGAGAUCCUACAUGGAAGAUUGCGCCUCGCUGGAGAGCCCGGAGAGCAGGAGUCAUGAUACCCAUCUCAUGGACACCGCAGAAGCCAUUGAACGUGUGGCCAUGUCCGCAGCAUCAGAGGCAACCUGCAGGGAAGCCCGAGCUGCUGUUGCCCCCUUCCUCCACCAGCGCCCUGAACUCCCUCUUAUCGUGCUCUUGGAGGGAGACCUCCAAUUUAGGCAGGGAGCCCCACAGAUUAAAUUCGUACCGACCCAAGAGGGCCUGAUGGUUUGCCACUCGUAACUGGAAGCUCGACGACGAAUACAUUUUUC